rnacentral:rRNA from 1 species
UACGAAGGGGGCUAGCGUUGUUCGGAAUUACUGGGCGUAAAGCGCGCGCAGGCGGCUAUCCAAGUCAGUGGUGAAAGCCCGGAGCUCAACUCCGGAACUGCCAUUGAAACUGUUUAGCUUGAGGACGAGAGAGGUGAGUGGAAUUCCCAGUGUAGAGGUGAAAUUCGUAGAUAUUCGGAGGAACACCAGUGGCGAAGGCGGCUCACUGGUCCAUUACUGACGCUGAGGUGCGAAAGCGUGGGGAGCAAACAGG